GGGUCAGUAGGUUGGUCGUGCCACCGGUACGUACUGGUCUCACUGAUUCCUCCUUCCUGAAGAACCGUAAUGCCAUUAAUUUGGUGUUGCGGGAAAACAGGACUGUUACUUUGAAAAAAUUAGAGUGUUUAAAGCAAGCUAACGCUUGUAUACAUUAGCAUGGAAUAAUGAAAUAGGACGAUCGAUCCUAUUUUGUUGGUUUCUAGGAUUGACGUA
rnacentral:rRNA from 1 species